GAUGGACGCUGGCGGCGUGCCUAAUACUUGCAAGUCGAGCGAACAGACGAGGAGCUUGCUCCUCUGACGUUAGCGGCGGACGGGUGAGUAACACGUGGAUAACCUACCUAUAAGACUGGGAUAACUUCGGGAAACCGGAGCUAAUACCGGAUAAUAUAUUGAACCGCAUGGUUCAAUAGUGAAAGACGGUUUUGCUGUCACUUAUAGAUGGAUCCGCGCCGCAUUAGCUAGUUGGUAAGGUAACGGCUUACCAAGGCAACGAUGCGUAGCCGACCUGAGAGGGUGAUCGGCCACACUGGAACUGAGACACGGUCCAGACUCCUACGGGAGGCAGCAGUAGGGAAUCUUCCGCAAUGGGCGAAAGCCUGACGGAGCAACGCCGCGUGAGUGAUGAAGGUCUUCGGAUCGUAAAACUCUGUUAUUAGGGAAGAACAAAUGUGUAAGUAACUAUGCACGUCUUGACGGUACCUAAUCAGAAAGCCACGGCUAACUACGUG
rnacentral:rRNA from 1 species